UACGUAGGGACCGAGCGUUGUCCGGAAUUAUUGGGCGUAAAGAGCUCGUAGGCGGCCUGUUGCGUCCGCUGUGAAAGCCCGGGGCUUAACCCCGGGUCGGCAGUGGAUACGGGCAGGCUAGAGGUAGGUAGGGGAGAAUGGAAUUCCCGGUGUAGCGGUGAGAUGCGCAGAUAUCGGGAGGAACACCGGUGGCGAAGGCGGUUCUCUGGGCCUUACCUGACGCUGAGGAGCGAAAGCGUGGGGAGCGAACAGG
rnacentral:rRNA from 1 species